GACGAACGCUGGCGGCAUGCCUAACACAUGCAAGUCGAGCGAGUUGAUUUCUUCGGAAUGAAGCUAGCGGCGGACGGGUGAGUAACACGUGGGCAACCUGCCUCAUAGAGGGGAAUAGCCUUCCGAAAGGAAGAUUAAUACCGCAUAAGAUUGUAGUACCGCAUGGUAUAGCAAUUAAAGGAGUAAUCCGCUAUGAGAUGGGCCCGCGGCGCAUUAGCUAGUUGGUGAGGUAACGGCUCACCAAGGCGACGAUGCGUAGCCGACCUGAGAGGGUGAUCGGCCACAGUGGGACUGGGACACGGCCCAGACUCCUACGGGAGGCAGCAGUGGGGAAUAUGGCACAAUGGGGGAAACCCUGAUGCAGCAAUGCCGCGUGAGUGAUGACGGCCUUCGGGUUGUAAAGCUCUGUCUUCGGGGACGAUAAUGACGGUACCCGAGGAGGAAGCCACGGCUAACUACGUGCCAGCAGCCGCGGUAA
rnacentral:rRNA from 1 species